GCGGUGGAGGGAGACGGAUCGUUUACUUUGAAAAAAUCAGAGUGUUUCAAGCAGGCAGCUCGCUCUCGCAUGGAUUAGCAUGGGAUAAUGAAAUAGGACUCUGGUGCUAUUUUGUUGGUUUCGAACACCGGAGUAAUGAUCAACAGGGACAGUCAGGGGCACUCGUAUUCCGCCGAGAGAGGUGAAAUUCUCAGACCAGCGGAAGACGAACCACUGCGAAAGCAUUUGCCAGGGAUGUUUUCACUGAUCAAGAACGAAAGUUAGGGGAUCGAAGACGAUCAGAUACCGUCGUAGUCUUAACCAUAAACCAUGCCGACUAGGGAUUGGGGGCUGUUCCGUUUGUGACUCCCUCAGCACCUUUCGGGAAACUAAAGUCUUUGGGUUCCGGGGGGAGUAUGGUCGCAAGGCUGAAACUUAAAGGAAUUGACGGAAGGGCACCACCAGGAGUGGAGCCUGCGGCUUAAUUUGACUCAACACGGGGAAACUUACCAGGUCCAGACAUUGUGAGGAUUGACAGAUU
rnacentral:rRNA from 1 species